UUGCAUAUCAAUAAGCGGAGGAAAAGAAACCAACAGGGAUUGCCCCAGUAACGGCGAGUGAAGCGGCAACAGCUCAAAUUUGAAAUCUGGCCCCCAGGGUCCGAGUUGUAAUUUGCAGAGGAUGAUUUUGGCGAGGUGCCUUCCGAGUUCCCUGGAACGGGACGCCACAGAGGGUGAGAGCCCCGUCUGGUUGGACGCCGAGCCUAUGUAAAUCUCCUUCGACGAGUCGAGUAGUUUGGGAAUGCUGCUCUAAAUGGGAGGUAUAUGUCUUCUAAAGCUAAAUAUUGGCCAGAGACCGAUAGCGCACAAGUAGAGUGAUCGAAAGAUGAAAAGCACUUUGAAAAGAGGGUUAAAUAGUACGUGAAAUUGUUGAAAGGGAAGCGCUCAUGACCAGACUUGGGCCCGGUGAAUCAUCCAGCGUUCUCGCUGGUGCACUUUGCCGGGCUCAGGCCAGCAUCAGUUUGCCCCGGGGGAUAAAGGCUUUGGGAAUGUGGCUCCUCCGGGAGUGUUAUAGCCCAUUGCAUAAUAUCCUGGGGCGGACUGAGGUUCGCGCAUCUGCAAGGAUGCUGGCGUAAUGGUCAUCAGCGACCCGUCUUGAAACACGGACC
rnacentral:rRNA from 1 species